GAGCUUAGUGGUUAAAGCGUCCGCCUCCGAUGCGAGAGGUCGUGGGUUCGAUCUGAGUCAUACCA